GGUAACUAAUUUUUGUAUCUCCCUGCCAGUGUAACCGUUUGAAUGUUAAUUUAAUUUUACAGAAUAUCAUUUAUGUAAAUGUAAUUAGAAGGGAAACAUGAUCUGGAGAUGCACAGCACCAAAGAAAAUUUAUUACUCCAAGGGGUAUUGCUCUAAUCAUUCAACUGCAAUAUUGAGUUUCCCCAGAUUUAAUCUAAAAGCAAUAAAUUACAAAAGGCUAAUGCCCUGCCCAACAACAAGCUGUCAUGAACCCAAGU
rnacentral:lncRNA from 10 species